AGGACCCAACCUCUGACUUAAAGCUUAUAGCCUCUUGGGCGCGGAGUGGAUAAGUGGAGAGAGCAACCAGCAAGUGUAAAUUUUCUAUAAUGCUGAGAGACAAGGGCUUUGAAGAGGGAGGCCUAAGGAUCAUGGAAGCUCACAGAAGAACAUUCCCUGCCUUUUCUUUAACCAGGCUUCCUGGCCUGGUGAAGGAGCAAAUGGGCAUGAGAUGGAGCAGGAGACUCCCACCCAGCAGCCAUUCCCAAUCCCCUUCUUCUCCGACAGCUAGGGGUGGCCAUCAGCAUCACACGGUGGGAUGUGCUCCUCACUCUGUUUCCUUUGUUGGGCGAUUGUCCUUCCAGCCACCUUGCAGAAGCACGACCAAGUUCUGCUCAACAGGAAUGGGAACAGUGCGUCACUUCAGUUGGCACGGUUAGGAGCUGGUGCCUCUGCCCUCAUCCCCCAGUGCAAAGAAGAUUGGGGGCCUCAUGAUUUCAUUGGUGGAACUACAAGGAGGGCCACAGACCACAAAAAUUGUGAGCUUGGUCAUUGCCUCCUUCAGAAAGCCUCUCCUCUCUCAACCGUGGAGUGACUUCAGACGGGGCAUUUCCCUCACCGUACUGCCACUGAUCUACGCCGAUGUCCUCCUUGCUUUGGCUCUGUCAGAGCCUCUCCUUGGACAGCCACAAGUGGCUCUGUGAAGGCAAGCUCACGAAACUGCUUCUGAAAAAUAAAUGUCAAAUGAACAAGG